rnacentral:rRNA from 1 species
GAAGGUUAUACUGUCUCCUUUUUCUAAUCAGUGAAACUGAUCUCUCCGUGAAGAAGCGGAGAUUUUUUUAUAAGACGAGAAGACCCCAUGGAGCUUUAAACCCAAUUGUACUCCUAUUCCUUAUUACUGCUUAAACUAUGGAAUCUACACACUUGGUUUUAGGUUGGGGUGACCACGGAGCACAAUUUAGCCUCCAUGAUGAACGGGACUACCCCCUUAUCUAAGAAUAACAUUUCUAAGAAUUAAUAUUUUAACAUAAAAUGAUCCGUCAAUCGAUCAACGAACCAAGUUACCCUGGGGAUAACAGC